UACGUAGGGGGCAAGCGUUGUCCGGAAUCAUUGGGCGUAAAGCGCGUGUAGGCGGUUCGGUAAGUCUGCUGCGAAAGUCCAGGGCUCAACCCUGGGAUGCCGGUGGAUACUGUCGGACUAGAGUACGGAAGAGGCGAGUGGAAUUCCCGGUGUAGCGGUGAGAUGCGUAGAGAUCCGGAGGAACACCGACGGCGUAGGCAGCGCCCUGGACGACACCUGACGCUGAGACGCGAAAGCGUGGGGAGCAAACAGG
rnacentral:rRNA from 1 species